rnacentral:rRNA from 1 species
CCCCACUGCUAUCGAGGUGGGACUAAGCCAUGCUAGUCGAACGAACUUUAUGUUAGUGGCACACUGCUCAGUAACACGUAGCUAACCUACCCUUAGGACGAGGACAACCCCGAGAAAUUGGGGCUAAUCCGCGAUAGGUGUGAUGUCCUGGAAUGGUAUCACGCCCAAAGGUGUUCGCACGCCUAAGGAUGGGGCUGCGGCCGAUCAGGCAGUUGGUGAGGUAACGGCUCACCAAACCUUUGACCGGUACGGGCCAUGAGAGUGGUAGCCCGGAGAUGGACACUGAGACAAGGGUCCAGGCCCUACGGGGCGCAGCAGGCGCGAAACCUCCUCAAUGCACACACGUACGAAGGGGUUACCUCGAGUGCCAUCUGAAGAAGGUGGCUUUUCCAUGGUCUAAAAAGCCUAGGGAAUAAGAGGGGGGCAAGACUGGUGUCAGCCGCCGCGGUAACACCAGCCCCUCGAGUGGUAGGGAUGAUUAUUUGGCCUAAAGCGUCCGUAGCCGGCCGGAUAAGUCUCCCGUUAAAUCCAGCGUCUCAAGCGUUGGACUGCGGGAGAUACUGUCUGGCUAGAGAGUGGGAGAGGUGUACGGUAUUCUGGGGGUAGGGGCGAAAUCCUUUGAUCCCCGGAGGACCACCAGUGGCGAAGGCUGUGCACUAGAACACGUCUGACGGCCAGGGACGAAAGCUGGGGUAGCGAACCGGAUUAGAUACCCGGGUAGUCCCAGCCGUAAACGAUGCACGCUAGGUGUUGGGUCGGCCACGAGCCGCCCCAGUGCCGCAGGGAAGCCAUUAAGCGUGCCGCCUGGGGAGUACGGCCGCAAGGCUGAAACUUAA